rnacentral:rRNA from 1 species
AGGGUUUGAUCCUGGCUCAGGAUGAACGCUGGCGGCGUGCUUAACACAUGUAAGUCGAACGAAGCGAUUUGACGGAAGUUUUCGGAUGGAAGCCAAAUUGACUGAGUGGCGGACGGGUGAGUAACGCGUGGGUAACCUGCCUCAUACAGGGGGAUAACAGUUAGAAAUGACUGCUAAUACCGCAUAAGCGCACGGAAGCGCAUGCUUCUGUGUGAAAAACUCCGGUGGUAUGAGAUGGACCUGCGUCUGAUUAGCUGGUUGGUGAGGUAACGGCCCACCAAGGCGACGAUCAGUAGCCGACCUGAGAGGGUGACCGGCCACAUUGGGACUGAGACACGGCCCAA